GGGGCGGUGGUCUAGUGGCGUAUGGCGCUCUCUCUCUUGUAUCGUUAUCCGUAUACCUAGAACCUAUAACCUCUACAAAAAGGGAGAGAGAGGUCGGUGGUUCGAAUCCAUCCCGCUCCA
rfam:Colletotrichum orbiculare MAFF 240422 contig02535, whole genome shotgun sequence.